AGGGGGGUAGAAUUCCAGGUGUAGCGGUGAAAUGCGUAGAGAUCUGGAGGAAUACCGGUGGCGAAGGCGGCCCCCUGGACGAUAACUGACGCUGAGGCGCGAAAGCGUGGGGAGCAAACAGGAUUAGAUACCCUGGUAGUCCACGCCGUAAACGAUGUCGACUUGGAGGUUGUGCCCUUGAGGCGUGGCUUCCGGAGCUAACGCGUUAAGUCGACCGCCUGGGGAGUACGGCCGCAAGGUUAAAACUCAAAUGAAUUGACGGGGGCCCGCACAAGCGGUGGAGCAUGUGGUUU
rnacentral:rRNA from 1 species